GAUGAACGCUGGCGGCGUGCCUAAUACAUGCAAGUCGAACGCAUUGUGGUUGAAAUGAUAUGAAGAACUUGUUCAGAUUUGAUUUUCAACAUUGCAAUGAGUGGCGAACGGGUGAGUAACACGUGGGAAACCUACCUCUUAGCAGGGGAUAACAUUUGGAAACAAAUGCUAAUACCGUAUAAUAAUUAAAACCGCAUGGUUUUAGUUUAAAAGAUGGUCUUGCUAUCACUAAGAGAUGGUCCCGCGGUGUAUUAGUUAGUUGGUGAGGUAAUGGCUCACCAAGACAAUGAUACAUAGCCGAGUUGAGAGACUGACCGGCCACAAUGGGAGUGAGACACGGCCCAUACUCCUACGGGAGGUAGCAGUAGGGAAUCUUCCACAAUGGACGAAAGGUCUGAUGGAGCAACGCCGCGUGUGUGAUGAAGGGUUUCGGCUCGUAAAACACUGUUGUAAGAGAAGAAUGACAUUGAGAGUAACU
rnacentral:rRNA from 1 species